rnacentral:rRNA from 1 species
GACGUAGGGUGCGAGCGUUGUCCGGAUUUAUUGGGCGUAAAGAGCUCGUAGGCGGCUCGUCGCGUCGACCGUGAAAACCAGCAGCUUAACUGCUGGCUUGCGGUUGAUACGGGCGGGCUAGAGUUCGGUAGGGGAGACUGGAAUUCCUGGUGUAGCGGUGAAAUGCGCAGAUAUCAGGAGGAACACCGGUGGCGAAGGCGGUUCUCUGGGCCUGUACUGACGCUGAGGAGCGAAAGCGUGGGGAGCGAACAGG